rnacentral:rRNA from 1 species
GCGGGGAGUAGCUUGCUUACUUUGCCGGCGAGCGGCGGACGGGUGAGUAAUGUCUGGGAAACUGCCUGAUGGAGGGGGAUAACUACUGGAAACGGUAGCUAAUACCGCAUGACCUCGAAAGAGCAAAGUGGGGGACCUUCGGGCCUCACGCCAUCGGAUGUGCCCAGAUGGGAUUAGCUAGUAGGUGAGGUAAUGGCUCACCUAGGCGACGAUCCCUAGCUGGUCUGAGAGGAUGACCAGCCACACUGGAACUGAGACACGGUCCAGACUCCUACGGGAGGCAGCAGUUGGGGAAUAUUGCACAAUGGGCGCAAGCCUGAUGCAGCCAUGCCGCGUGUGUGAAGAAGGCCUUCGGGUUGUAAAGCACUUUCAGCGAGGAGGAAGGCGUUAAGGUUAAUAACCUUAGCGAUUGACGUUACUCGCAGAAGAAGCACCGGCUAACUCCGUGCCAGCAGCCGCGGUAAUACGGAGGGUGCAAGCGUUAAUCGGAAUUACUGGGCGUAAAGCGCACGCAGGCGGUUUGUUAAGUCAGAUGUGAAAUCCCCGAGCUUAACUUGGGAACUGCAUUUGAAACUGGCAAGCUAGAGUCUUGUAGAGGGGGGUAGAAUUCCAGGUGUAUGCGGUGAAAUGCGUAGAGAUCUGGAGGAAUACCGGUGGCGAAGGCGGCCCCCUGGACAAAGACUGACGCUCAGGUGCGAAAGCGUGGGGAGCAAACAGGAUUAGAUACCCUGGUAGUCCACGCUGUAAACGAUGUCGAUUUGGAGGUUGUGGGCUUGACCCGUGGCUUCCGGAGCUAACGCGUUAAAUCGACCGCCUGGGGAGUACGGCCGCAAGGUUAAAACUCAAAUGAAUUGACGGGGGCCCGCACAAGCGGUGGAGCAUGUGGUUUAAUUCGAUGCAACGCGAAGAACCUUACCUACUCUUGACAUCCAGAGAAUUCGCUAGAGAUAGCUUAGUGCCUUCGGGAACUCUGAGACAGGUGCUGCAUGGCUGUCGUCAGCUCGUGUUGUGAAAUGUUGGGUUAAGUCCCGCAACGAGCGCAACCCUUAUCCUUUGUUGCCAGCGCGUAAUGGCGGGAACUCAAAGGAGACUGCCGGUGAUAAACCGGAGGAAGGUGGGGAUGACGUCAAGUCAUCAUGGCCCUUUACGAGUAGGGCUACACACGUGCUACAAUGGCAUAUACAAAGAGAAGCGAACUCGCGAGAGCAAGCGGACCUCAUAAAGUAUGUCGUAGUCCGGAUUGGAGUCUGCAACUCGACUCCAUGAAGUCGGAAUCGCUAGUAAUCGUAGAUCAGAAUGCUACGGUGAAUACGUUCCCGGGCCUUGUACACACCGCCCGUCACACCAUGGGAGUGGGUUGCAAAAGAAGUAGGUAGCUUAACCUUCGGGAGGGCGC